UGAAGAAGGCAGUGCUGCUUGCCAGCCUUAGCCCUGCAGGCUUCUCUUGAAGAUCAGCUGUUCCCAGUGAAUGGACUGACCCUCUCAUCUUGAUGAAUCAUCUGAGCUUGAAGCAUUGACACAUGGUUGACAAAUGUCAUCACAAUAGAUUUUAUGAAGGCAAGGAGUGGAUUUGCUCUUGAGUGAGAGGAAACCCAGGGGCAAGAUUCCUCCACCUCUGAACUCAGGGCCACCACACUAUACCCUCAAUAUUUCUGCAGCCUCUUUGUGACAUGUGAAGAUAUGUGGUCUACGGAUGCACAAUUUCAAGGCAGAGGUAAGCUAAACUGUUGGGACAAAUAGAUUGAGCCAGAUUCUGGAGUGGAGUUUCCCUAAGUUGGCUCAUCCUGAAGUAUCCUGAAGACUUUCUAUAGUGCCUACAGUGUUUCCAUAGUGCCUGGAUGAAGC
rnacentral:lncRNA from 1 species